CUACCUGUAUAAACCAUAAUUCCGCCUCCACCAAAUCCCACCUCCCUAGGGUGGAGGCGCCGAUGCCAAAAUCCACCACAAUAACACCCAUGAACCAGCAGACCACCCCCAUUACGAAUCCAUGAACCAUUUUCCUCGAAUCAAAUCACACCUGCUCGAAUCUUGGUUUGAAAAUCUGCCCCAAAACCAAAAUUGUCCAAAUCCAACCAAACUUACACCCUACAACCUCAUCGACUUCCCCAUUCCGGAACCCAAACCAAAAUCCUUCAAAUCUAAGACAAAGUCCUUGAAUUUUAGAUCUAGGGUUCACUAUCAAAACCUUUUAAAUGUCCA
rnacentral:lncRNA from 1 species